AUUGAACGCUGGCGGCAGGCCUAACACAUGCAAGUCGAACGAGUGGCGGACGGGUGAGUAAUGUCUGGGAAACGGCCCGAUGGAUGGGGGUAAAUACUGGAAACGAUAGCUAAAUCCGCCUUCCAUCGGAUGUGCCCAGAUGGGAUUAGCUUGUAGGUGGUGUAACGGCUCACCUCGGCGACGAUCCCUAGCUGGUCUGAGAGGAUGACCAGCCACACUGGAACUGAGACACUGUCCAUACUCCUACGGGAGGCAGCAGUGGGGAAUAUUGGACAAUGGGCGCAAGCCUGAUGCAGCCAUGCCGCGUGGAUGAAGAAGGUCUUCGGGUUGUAAAGCACGUUAAGCGGGGAGGCGUUACCCGCAGAAGAAGCACCGGCUAACUCCGUGCCAGCAGCCGCGGUAAUAC
rnacentral:rRNA from 1 species